rnacentral:rRNA from 1 species
GGUAACCUGCCUGUAAGACUGGGAUAACUCCGGGAAACCGGAGCUAAUACCGGAUAGUUCCUUGAACCGCAUGGUUCAAGGAUGAAAGACGGUUUCGGCUGUCACUUACAGAUGGACCCGCGGCGCAUUAGCUAGUUGGUGGGGUAAUGGCUCACCAAGGCGACGAUGCGUAGCCGACCUGAGAGGGUGAUCGGCCACACUGGGACUGAGACACGGCCCAGACUCCUACGGGAGGCAGCAGUAGGGAAUCUUCCGCAAUGGACGAAAGUCUGACGGAGCAACGCCGCGUGAGUGAUGAAGGUUUUCGGAUCGUAAAGCUCUGUUGUUAGGGAAGAACAAGUGCGAGAGUAACUGCUCGCACCUUGACGGUACCUAACCAGAAAGCCACGGCUAACUACGUGCCAGCAGCCGCGGUAAUACGUAGGUGGCAAGCGUUGUCCGGAAUUAUUGGGCGUAAAGGGCUCGCAGGCGGUUUCUUAAGUCUGAUGUGAAAGCCCCCGGCUCAACCGGGGAGGGUCAUUGGAAACUGGGAAACUUGAGUGCAGAAGAGGAGAGUGGAAUUCCACGUGUAGCGGUGAAAUGCGUAGAGAUGUGGAGGAACACCAGUGGCGAAGGCGACUCUCUGGUCUGUAACUGACGCUGAGGAGCGAAAGCGUGGGGAGCGAACAGGAUUAGAUACCCUGGUAGUCCACGCCGUAAACGAUGAGUGCUAAGUGUUAGGGGGUUUCCGCCCCUUAGUGCUGCAGCUAACGCAUUAAGCACUCCGCCUGGGGAGUACGGUCGCAAGACUGAAACUCAAAGGAAUUGACGG